AUUGAACGCUGGCGGCAGGCCUAACACAUGCAAGUCGAGCGAGUGGCGGACGGGUGAGUAAUGCAUGGGGACUGCCCGAUAGAGGGGGAUAACUACUGGAAACGGUGGCUAAUACCGCAUACUAUCGGAUAACCCAUAUGGGAUGAGCUAGUUGGUGGGGUAAAGGCUCACCUAGGCGACGAUCUCUAGCUGGUCUGAGAGGAUGAUCAGGCAGCCUGGGGCUGUGACACGGCCCAGACUCCUACGGAGGCAGCAUUGGGGAAAUGGGCACAAUGGGGACAAGCCUGAUGCAGGCAUGCGGGGGGUAUGAAGAAGGCCGUGGGGUUGUAAAGUACUUUCAGCGGGGAGGCGGUACCCGCAGAAGAAGCACCGGCUAACUCCGUGCCAGCAGCCGCGGUAAUUC
rnacentral:rRNA from 1 species